UACGGAGGGUGCAAGCGUUGUCCGGAUUUAUUGGGUUUAAAGGGUGCGUAGGCGGUUCUUUUAAGUCUGGGGUGAAAGCCCGUUGCUCAACAACGGAACUGCCCUGGAAACUGGAGGACUUGAGUACAGACGAGGGUGGCGGAAUGGAUGCUGUAGCGGUGAAAUGCAUAGAUAGCAUCCAGAACCCCCGAUUGCGAAGCAGCUGCCUAGACUGUAACUGACGCUGAGGCACGAAAGCGUGGGGAGCGAACAGG
rnacentral:rRNA from 1 species